UUUGACCUCGGAUCAGGUAGGGAUACCCGCUGAACUUAAGCAUAUC
rnacentral:rRNA from 15 species